rnacentral:rRNA from 1 species
UACAGAGGGGGGCAAGCGUUUGUUCGGAAUACUGGGCGUAAAGGGCGCGUAGGCGCCUUCUAAGUCGAACGUGAAAUCCCUGGGCUCAACCCAGGAACUGCGUCCGAUACUGGAAGGCUUGAAUCCGGGAGAGGGAUGCGGAAUUCCAGGUGUAGCGGUGAAAUGCGUAGAUAUCUGGAGGAACACCGGUGGCGAAGGCGGCAUCCUGGACCGGUAUUGACGCUGAGGCGCGAAAGCCAGGGGAGCAAAGCGGG